CCUAGGACGCCUUCUCUGAAUUUUGACAAGGGCUGAGCUACGAAUGUUUCUCUACAUUUGUACUGGUACUGCUUCAAAAAGAUACACAUGUGAACUUCAGUGAAUAUGGGGUGAAGGGAGAAUACUGCAGGCAGAACGAGCACCCCAAGCAAAAGCACAGACCACCAGUAUUGGGCUGACAUGUUGGGAAACAAGUAACCUACUUCUGUUUUAUAAAUGACAACGACGAGACUCAGAAAGCUUCAGUUCUGCACAGCUGCACAAUUCAAAUCUCAAGUCUGUCUGACAUCAAACCCUGGAUUGUUUUUUCACAACUCCCAAAAAUCACGUGUGCGGCCUAUGAACAGAAUGCACGGGAGAGAGGAGAUUGUCCCUA